AGUCUACAAAACCCCACAUCCCCUGAGAAUUCUCUCGCCUGCCUUAGGCACUUAGGCUCCGGGAGAUUGCAAAUAACCUGCUUUCUUUCUGUUCCCGGGCUGCGUUCGGACUCCUGUCAGAUAGUAAAUCCUAAGUGGCGUCGGACCCCUGUCAGAGAGUAAAUCUCAAGUAAGGUACCUGCCAUCGGCAGAUUUGAGCUUUCUUCUUGGACACCUAAUACCCACAGUCCUCCAGGCUCCGGUAGACUGCAAAUGACCUGCUUUCUUUCUGUUCCCGGGCUGCGUUUGGACCCCUGUCGGAUAGUAAAUCCCAAGCUCCGGUAGACUGCAAAUGACCUGCUUUCUUUCUGUUCCCGGGCUGCGUUUGGACCCCUGUCGGACAGUAAAUCCCAAGUAAGGUACCUGCCCUCGGCAGAUUUGAGCUUUCUUCUUGGACACCUAAUACCCACAGUCCUCCAGGGCGAGAGGGGGGUGAUAUGACUGCCUGCCUUGCGGGUGGCGCCCGCCCCCCUGCGAUGUGGAUCGUCUUAUCCAGAGUGUGAAAGGAAUGGAACAGAUAAGAAGAUACUGAAAUUGGACGGUGCUGCCGUGCGGCUGCCGCAGGACACCUUUAAUAUCCCUGUUUCUCAGGCUGUAGAUGAAGGGGUUCAGCAUGGAGGUGAUCACCGUGUACAUCACUGAGGCCACUGCAGCCUUUCUCGGGGAAGAUGACACAUCUGAACUGAGGUACCCUCCAAAGCCUGUUCCGUAAAAUCAGCAAACAACUGACAGGAUAACUUCAGGAAGUGGGUAUUAAUUCUCACGGUAUAAGUGAAGACAUUAAGCACCAGAGUUUAAGUAGCUUGAUCCACUGAAAGAGAUUCAACUGUGUGGAACCUAUGCCGUGGAGAAUUGCUUUCUGCCAUUGUUAUCGUCCAGCAGUUGCCGAAUAGCUCUGACCUGAGCAAAGCAGUGAAACGCGGUGCUGUUGAGUGGGUUGCCACUGCACCUUUUUCAACUACUCUAGUCUUGUGGAGAAAAUACCCCUUCUAAAUUUUUUCUUCAUUGAAUACUCUCCCUCAGCUCCAGAGUACCAUAUAGAGUUUUCUUGUAUUUUAGAGUUACUGUUUUAUCAAAGUUUACCAGUCUUUUGUAUUACAUUUCUCCUGUCUAAAUCGACUGUGUGGUUUCUACUCAUUAUGGAUAUAGAUUGAUACAAACUCAAUAAAUAUUUUUGAAUGAAUAA
rnacentral:lncRNA from 1 species